UCCGGAGUUUUUGGCUUCAACUAUGUUGGACAGAGAUAUGCUUGCUAUUGCUGUAAAUUGGUACCAUGUCGGUUGGUUUUGCUUGGUAAGAUUUGUGACGAUGCGUCGGACAAACAACAUUGGGAAAAUAUACAGCCUUGAGCCUUGAUGACCAAUGUAUAUCUCUAUUUGAGGAAUUCUCCAAAGAUCCAGAGCCGAUUGUUUCAUAGAGCUGUGAAGUUGCGUUAAACAUACUGGAUUUUGAAUGAUCCGACAAACCAUUCGAGGUACUUGGAAGAUUAAGUCUCUUAUCUGGGUGGUUGUUACAGGUUUAGGAUGUUAAAUGAUUUUGGAUGUACUCUGCGAUGUCGAUGAU